rnacentral:tRNA from 1 species
GGAGAAUUAGCUCAGCUGGGAGAGCAUCUGCCUUCCAAGCAGAGGGUCGGCGGUUCGAACCCGUCAUUCUCCACCA